UUUUUUAGCCCCUGUUUCCUCCUCCAUUCUUUCAGCCUCCACUUUAAAGCUUCCAUUGUUCAGCCUCCAAAAUCCAGCCUCCAUUUUUCUGCCUCCAAUUUUCUGCCUCCAUUUUUCUGCCUCCAUUUUCUAGCCUCCAUUUUCCAGCCUCCAUUUUUUAGCCCGUUUCCACCUCCAUUUUUCAACCUCCAAAAACCAGCCUCAAUUUUUCCACCUCCAUUUUUCUGCCUGCAUUUUCAACCUCAAUUUUUCUGCCUCCAUGUUUCAGCCUCCAAAUACCAACCUCCAUUUUUCAGCUUCCAUUUUUCAGCCUCCAUUUUCAGACUGCAUUUUACAGCCUCCAUUUUUCAACCUCCAAAAUCCGCCUCCAUUUUUCAGCGUCCAUUUUUAAGCCUUUAUUUUUCUGCUUCCGUUUUUCAGCCUCCAUUUUUCAGCCUCCAAAAUCCAGCCUCCAUUUUUCAGUCUCCAAAAACCAGCCUCCAUUUUUCAGCUUCCAUUUUUCAGCCUCCAAAAAUCAGCCUCCAUUUUGCAUCCUCCAAAAACCUGCCUCCAUUUUUCAGCCUUUUUGCUGCCAGGAUUUAACAGCGCUUUGUAAGUGGUGUGAUGUUUCUUCAUGGUGCCAAGCAAAUUAGUAGCGAAGAGUACGAUGGGAUAAACAAUCACAAUUAACUGGUACAGCCUGGGGACAGCAGGUGCAAUGAAACCAAAGCAGAGCUGUUGCUUACUGUAAUUGCUCACACAAGAAGAUUUUGCAAGUGAGACUUUAAAGACCAAAUUAAUAUAAUUGUGGCAUAAUUAAUGUAUCAGCUGCAAUGGAAAUGUCUGAAGUCACAUUUUAAAUUGAACUCUGUUGUUGUUGUUUUUGUGCGUGUGAACUUAAAUCCAUACCCUUCUGCCUGAAAUUUGCGUUGACUGCAGUGAGAUCCUGGAUUUUAGAGUUACUUUUUCUAACACUGGAGAUGAGUACCAUCUAGGGCAUGUAGACUUACAAAUAUCAUCAGAAAUGGUACUCAACCUUAGUGACAGAGCUUGCUGGAUUGAAUAUUAAUAACCAGUUCAUCACAUAUGUGUUAGGACUAUUGGGAUUUGUUCAUUUUCAAUACUCACUUCCAAUUUUCCAGAGUAUGCUCUCUGUCAUAUAUUAAUGAACAGUUUUGUCUCAGUGGGAAAAUAAUGAGUUUCUAUAUACCUUAUGUCCUCUGUAAAUCCACUUAAUAGCUUUCAUGUGUGUGACACACCUGGGAUUAUCAGUUUUUCUCUAAUCUUCAGCUACUCAAGGACUGCGCUGUGGCUGUGAUUACAGCAGGGAUACACUUGGGCAGCAGAUUAAAGUAUUAAAUCUUGCAGGCCAGAUCUUGGCAUCCUUUGUAUCAAAGCUACUAACUCACGUUACUCCAUUCUUCCCAUUCAAAUCAGUCUACCAGUAGGCUACAGAUGUGAUUUAACUACAGAUGGCUUAACACCCUGGCUAGUUGCAGCUCUGCCCUUGCUCCUGGCUAUUGCCGCUCUCUCUGGGCUGAAAAGGAAGCACUGAAUCUAAGUAGGUAGCAAUCUGCUUAACUUGAUGGAGAGGUCUAUGGCU
ensembl:lncRNA